CACGUAGGGCGCAAGCGUUGUCCGGAAUUAUUGGGCGUAAAGAGCUCGUAGGCGGUCUGUUACGUCUGCUGUGAAAACCCGGGGCUUAACCCUGGGCUUGCAGUGGAUACGGGCAGACUAGAGGCAGGUAGGGGAGAAUGGAAUUCCCGGUGUAGCGGUGAAAUGCGCAGAUAUCGGGAGGAACACCGGUGGCGAAGGCGGCAUCCUGGACCAUUACUGACACUGAAAAGCGAAAGCCAGGGGAGCAAACGGG
rnacentral:rRNA from 1 species